rnacentral:rRNA from 1 species
CCUACGGGCGACAGCAGUGGGGAAUAUUGCACAAUGGGGGGAACCCUGAUGCAGCGACGCCGCGUGAGUGAAGAAGUAUUUCGGUACGUAAAGCUCUAUCAGCAGGGAAGAAAAAAGGACGGUACCUGAGUAAGAAGCCCCGGCUAACUACGUGCCAGCAGCCGCGGUAAUACGUAGGGGGCAAGCGUUAUCCGGAUUUACUGGGUGUAAAGGGAGCGUAGACGGCUGUGCAAGUCUGAAGUGAAAGCGCAGGGAUGAACGCUGGGACUGCAUGGGAAACUGGGGAGCGAGAGUGCUGGAGAGGUAAGUGGAAUUCCUAGUGUAGGGGGGAAAUGCGGAGAGAUUAGGAGGAACACCAGUGGCGAAGGCGACUUACUGGACAGUAACUGAGGAUGAGGCGCGAAAGCGGGGGGAGAAAACAGGAGUAGAUACCCGAGUAGUC